UACAUUAAAAUCAGAAGAUGAGUAAAUUAAUUUUGAAUUAAGCGAGCUAUUGAUUUGAUGGAAGAUGGCUGAGAAAUUAAUUGAAGAUGGUCUUUGAUUAUGAUGAGUUAGUGAGUCGCUAUAAACUAAUUACGGAGAUGCCCGUUACUGCAUAUGAGUGGACUUAUAGUAUAAGUUUAUUAAGGUGGUACCGCGGUGAGAGUCGUCCUUCGU
rnacentral:ncRNA from 1 species